AGCGAACGCUGGCGGCAGGCCUAACACAUGCAAGUCGAACGGACCCUUCGGGGUUAGUGGCGGACGGGUGAGUAACACGUGGGAACGUGCCUUUAGGUUCGGAAUAGCUCCUGGAAACGGGUGGUAAUGCCGAAUGUGCCCUUCGGGGGAAAGAUUUAUCGCCUCUAGAGCGGCCCGCGUCUGAUUAGCUAGUUGGUGAGGUAAUGGCUCACCAAGGCGACGAUCAGUAGCUGGUCUGAGAGGAUGACCAGUCACACUGGGACUGAGACACGGCCCAGACUCCUACGGGAGGCAGCAGUGGGGAAUCUUGCGCAAUGGGCGAAAGCCUGACGCAGCCAUGCCGCGUGAAUGAUGAAGGUCUUAGGAUUGUAAAAUUCUUUCACCGGGGACGAUAAUGACGGUACCCGGAGAAGAAGCCCCGGCUAACUUCGUGCCAGCCGCCGCGGUAA
rnacentral:rRNA from 1 species